rnacentral:tRNA from 1 species
GGGAGUAGAUGACCGUCUGGUGGCGGCCUCGGUCUUCAAAACCGCAGAAGGUCGGUAAGACCGGCCUUGGUGGGUUCGAUUCCCAUCUACUCCCGCCA